rnacentral:rRNA from 1 species
AACGUAGGUGGCAAGCGUUACUCGGAUUUACUAGGCGUAAAGCGAGUGUAGGCGGGCGGUUAAGUUCUUUGUGCAAGCCCCAGGCUUAACCUGGGGAGGUCAGGGAAAACUGAUUGCCUUGAGUAAGGUAGGGGGGACUGGAAUUCCCGGUGUAGCGGUGAAAUGCGUAGAUAUCGGGAGGAACGCCAACGGCGAAGGCAAGUCCCUGGGCCUUUACUGACGCUGAGACCCGAAAGCUAGGGGAGCAAACAGG